GAAAUAUCUAUUUUAGCAUUUUAGACAAAUGUCUCAUGGGCUAUGUUGGAACAUGUAGAAAGCAGUGGUUUCCUAGCAAAAAUGUAUGGAUGGUGAUGUGGUAGACAAUUGUUCUCUUAAGGAGUGAAGAUCAGUCUUCUAGAAAGCAAUAUGUAACAGAGUAAAUGAAGAGGAAGCAGACAUCAUCUUGUUGGAAAAAAACAACAUGGUUCCCUGUCGUUUUUGUGAGAAUGUCAAAAGGAAGAAAUUACUGUCACUCAGCAAGCGGGUUUCGCAGAUGAAGAUGGUUAUCAAUUAUAGUUAUUUUGCUCAUUAAUUUGCACUAGCAUUGAUGGAGGCUUCUCAAACACCACGUAGAAAAACUGAAAGUGUUAUGUUCUGUAGUGCUUGGAAUGCAAAAAUGAAGAAGAAGUGAAGAUUUGAUGAUGGAAGCUAGAUGUUGAAGAUGGCAGUAAUAGUAAUUCGGAAAGCAAAAGCAAAGCAUGUAGUGGGAUGGAAGAAAUUCAAAGUUUUGAUGUAUUCUAAGUCCUCGUUCAAAGGUUCAAGGAAGCACUGCCGCUAGAUCAUCCAAUGCCUUUUCUCAAUUGGACAAUGGACUAUACCUUUCCACCCAAAAAUAAGAGAGAUUCAUGAUACACUUGUGCUAACAGUUGAUUAUUCCGGGUGUCCAACCUAGCUAGGUGUUGAAUUUGUCAAGGAAGCAGCAGCUUUCGAGCUAAAGUGUAUGAAUGCAGUCUCGAUGGAUUAAAGGUUUACUUUUUUUCUCUCGAAGUUGGCAUGUCUUUCACACACAUAUGGAAGUGCCCGACCUUUCAUGUAUUUUGCAGGUUUCUUCUGAUCUGAUUUGCUUGAGACAGGGGAAAGCAUAUGAAGGAACCAUUUAGCUGGCAUGGCUGAGACCUGUAGCCAAUUUGGUUGAUCUUGGUUCCAGUUUAAGCUGUCUGGAUUGCUCUUUGUCAAUCUCAUGAAUAUGGAUCUCGUAUCAAUGGAAGCAUUGAAAGUAUGAAGAUGAGAAGGCAAGAAUACUGGUAGCAAAUAUGGAAUCAAUGUCCCCUUGUGCCGAGAAAUUCGAUUUUAUUUGACAAAACAAUUGGGAAAAUAGUUUUUUUUUUCUAGCUAUUUAUCAAG